rnacentral:rRNA from 1 species
CCUAAAAUAAUAUAUUAAUUUGAUUAUUUUUAAUUACAGAAGUGGAGCUACUUAAGUAUUUAGAGGAUUUCUUCCUUUUUGCAUAACGGAUUAAUUAAAAUUAUCUAAGUUUAGAUUUCCCGAAAAUAAAAGAUCUAACUUAUUUCUUGUUUUAGAAAAUAAACUAUUAUGUAGAACUAUAAUAUAAAGAAAAAAUGUUAGGGGUGAAAAACCUACAAUUUUAUUAAUAUCUGGAUUUAUAGGAUAAGUAUUUAGUACUUCAAACAUAUUUAAAGUGUUAAGGCUUUAAAUAAAGAGAAUAUUAAAAAUUUUAUCAAAAAUUAGGGCUAAUAACUCUUAUUUAAAUUUUAAGUUAAAAUUUAUUUUUUAUUGUAUCUCUUUUUUCUUAUAACUUUAUUUAAAAUUGAUUAAUUAAUUGAUAAUGUUAAUAUUAGUAAUAACUUUUUUAAAAUAUUAAAUGUAAAGAAAGGAACUCGGCAAAUAUUUAUCUUAACUGUUUACCAAAAACAUAGCUUUAAGUUUAAUUUAAGGUGAGACCUGCCCAAUGCAAUAAUGUAAACGGCCGCAGUACCUUGACUGUGCUAAGGUAGCAUAAUCAGUUGGCUUUUAAAUGGAGUCGAGAAUGAAUGGAUUAAUGGGAUGAAGCUGUCUCUUUUAUAUUAAUUUGAAUUUACUUAUUAGGUGAAAAUUCCUAUAUUUAGAAAAAAGACGAGAAGACCCUAGGAGUUUUAACUAAUAGUUAUUUUUAACUUAUGUUUUGGUUGGGGCGACGUUGGAGAACUAUAACCUCCUAUAACUUAUUUGCCGAUAAAAUAUGAUAAUAUAAACUACCCUAGGGAUAACAGCGUAAUUCUUUUAGAGCUUGCGACCUCGAUGUUGGACUAGGAAUUUAUUAGGCUAGCCGCUUAUUUAUAUUGUUCUGUUCGAACAAAUUCUCCUACAUGAUCUGAGUUCAACCGGCGUGCAAAUUUAUUAGGCAUAGCCCGCCUUAUUUAUAUUGUUCUGUUCGAACAAAUUUCUCCUACAUGAUCUGAGUCUCAGACAGGCGUAAGCCAGGUCAGAUUCUAUCUUUUAAUGUCUUGUUUUUAGUACGAAAGGAUCAAAGCAGGUUACUUUGU